UACGAAGGGUGCAACCGUUGCUCGGAAUUAUUGGGCGUAAAGCGCACGUAGGCGGCAUUGCAAGUCGGAUGUGAAAUCUUAUGGCUUAACCAUAAAAGUGCAUCCGAAACUGCAGUGCUUGAGUACUUAAGAGGAUCGCGGAAUUCCCGGUGUAGAGGUGAAAUUCGUAGAUAUCGGGAGGAACACCAGUGGCGAAGGCGGCGAUCUGGGAAGAUACUGACGCUGAGGUGCGAAAGCGUGGGGAGCAAACAGG
rnacentral:rRNA from 1 species